rnacentral:rRNA from 1 species
AUUGAACGCUGGCGGCAGGCCUAACACAUGCAAGUCGAGCGGUAGCACAGAGAGCUUGCUCUCGGGUGACGAGCGGCGGACGGGUGAGUAAUGUCUGGGAAACUGCCUGAUGGAGGGGGAUAACUACUGGAAACGGUAGCUAAUACCGCAUAACGUCGCAAGACCAAAGAGGGGGACCUUCGGGCCUCUUGCCAUCAGAUGUGCCCAGAUGGGAUUAGCUAGUAGGUGGGGUAACGGCUCACCUAGGCGACGAUCCCUAGCUGGUCUGAGAGGAUGACCAGCCACACUGGAACUGAGACACGGUCCAGACUCCUACGGGAGGCAGCAGUGGGGAAUAUUGCACAAUGGGCGCAAGCCUGAUGCAGCCAUGCCGCGUGUAUGAAGAAGGCCUUCGGGUUGUAAAGUACCUUCAGCGGGGAGGAAGGCGAUAAGGUUAAUAACCUUGUCGAUUGACGUUACCCGCAGAAGAAGCACCGGCUAACUCCGUGCCAGCCGCCGCGGUAA